UUCGUAGAAAGUUUUAUUGAUUUGAAAAUUUGUUUGUUUUAUAAUGAUCAAUAGAGCGUUCUCUCUAUUAAACAAAAAAUGUUUCGGAAAAUUGUUUUAAAUUGUUUAAGCACCCACUAAGUUUCCAGGACGCUGAAUCGGACAUAAGGGAGUACAAGUGUGCAGUACUCCAGCUGACACAAAAGUUUUGGAAGUUCAGAAUCAUUGACGUAUAUAUAUUGUGAAGUGACACCGUAAAUGUUCCAGUAUAAACGCUAAUGGUUUGAAGAUAUCUGGUAUCACUUUAUGGAUGUUGGUGUUAUUAGUGUUUCAAGGCUCCAUAUUUUUCAAAAGAGUUGAUCGAUUUUUAAAGACUAAACAGCAACGUAAAAGCAAUUAACAGACUUUAGAAUUCCAUUUGGGGAAAACUGGGAGAUUACAUAAAUUGGAUACCAAAUGAUAACUCUUAAAGAGUUAAAGGUUUUUCUAUGCAUUUUGCGUCAAAGCUUAUUAUCCUUCAACUUUGUGUAUUUUUGGAACUUGUCAAAGUUACCGAGUUUUUUCCCACUGACUGAAGCAAAAGGCGUAUUUUCUUGCUCUUACCAUUAUACUUCCCUAAAACCUUUAAGUAUUUACAGUUCUAAAAUAUAAAAACUAUUAUUUACUUAUAUUGAAUUUCUUAAAUGCUCAUAAGGU